GGAGGAAAAAGGUUCCGGCCUCAGCCGGCGCACCUGGCGGAGGAGGAACCUCGCGACGCGCUCUCGGGCAUCGGUUUCUCCCAGCAAAGCUUGGAGGGUUUAGCUGCGCGGAGAGCUCAGCGAGCUCUUCUGUGUCUGUUUGGGGCGUGUGGGCUCCGGGAGCGUGAGGACCGGGAAGCUAGGAGGCUCCUUCCCUUCUGGCGGCUCCCUCACUGAGACCGGGCGGUUUGGUUGCGGGGGAAGUGGAGACGAGCCACCCUUGACCUUUGACUGCAAGAACUCACCUUGAGCAGGAUAGAGGCACGUGGACGGUGACCCUCGGGAUGCAAUAAAUGCUGAGACAGAUCAGGUGUGCAAGGCACAGAGCUAGAGGCCAGAGGCCUUUCUUCUCCAACCUUCAGUCACCUCUUUUUAAAGUGAAGCCAGCAUCCUCCUCGGGGUUUACUGUGAAAAUUAAGUGAGCUGACGCGUGCUGUGUUUUGAUGUUGCUUGGCUCCUACAAACAUUGAGUGGGCCAGACACUGUUCUGAAAAAUACGCAGUCGACUUUUGAACAGCACAGGCUUGAACUGCAUGCGGCCACUAAUACUCGGACUUCCUUCUGCCUCUGCCAUCCCUAAGACAGCAAGACCCACCCCUCCUGCUCCUCAGCCUACUCGAUGUGAUGAUGUCUGGCUUCCUUUUCCCUUCAAUGGAAUAACAUAUACAAACUCUACCUAAGAGUGCUGUGUGAAGUACAUGCCAGCCUACAAGACAUGUCUCUAACCAAGUCGAAAGAGUGCAGUAUUCGUUCAUUCACUCAUUCAUUCAUUCAACAAAUGUUUAUUAAUAGGUAUUGUUUACCAAGCACUGUGUGUUAAGGAGAAGAUGGUAUGAAACAAGCAGACCCAGGCCUCAGGGAAGAGAGGCUGUUACAUUCAGAGACAAUUACCAUACACUACAAUGAAUGCUUUGAUGAAGGGAGGCAAAAAAACAAAAACAAAAACAACAACAACAAAAACCCCACAACGAUGUGGAUCCCUCCCUGUGGGGGUGAGGAGAAAGGAAAACAGCUUCAGGGAUCUCCAAGCCCUUGUGCCGGCCACUCUUCUUUCUUCUCUUCCUUCCUCCUCUGUCUUUCCUUUCAUCCUUCCUCCUCCCUUCUCUUUGGACAUCACUAAUAAAAGAGAAACAGAUGUCAGAGACGUAGACAUGGGGAGGGCUUUAAUAUCUAGCCUUACGGAACAAAAUCCUUGGGACCCAAUAGAACUUAGUGUUGCAGAGCUUUCUCCUGAGUUCAGCUAAAACCAGGCUCUUGUCACACGACCAGGGAAGAUUAGGCUCCCGGACACAUAGAAGGGUGAGGAAAACAGAAUUUAUUGGGCGAAAAGGAAAAAGAAAGAAAAACUCUCAGCGAAGUGAUAGGGGGUCUUGCCAACAACCUCUCUCCUCACAAAUUGAAUCCUAGGUUACCACAGAGGCCAGGUUCCUCUCCCCUGCAAACUUCGUGAACUUCCCCUGGCUCUACCCCUUUCCCCCAGUAAGAAGGUGGGCCUCAUUUAGAGAAAAUCGUUUGGGAAAGGGCAGGCUUCAUCAGGGACCAGCAAUCCAGUUUCUCAGCCUUCAGGCUGUUUUAGCCUUGGAGGUGGGGUUUCACCUGGGACACUUGGCUGCCCCCUGUCUCUAACAUUAGAUGUCUCUAACAUCUAUUCCCCUCCCUAUCUUUGCUGGACACCUGACUCUCUCCUAGAGCAACCCAGCAAACAUCUGUCUGUUGUGUACUUAAAUACCCCCACAGAUUGGGAACUGUCUCCUUUAUGGGAAAGCUCUUUAUAUUUGGGACACCCCAGUUUGUUCAUUCAGCACAUUUUCUUUUCAACUUUUUUAGAGACAAGGUCUCACUCUGUCACCCAGACUGGAAUGCAGUAGCGUGAUCAUAGCUCACUGUAACCUCGAACUCCUGGGCUCAAGUGAUCCUCCUGCCUCGGCCUCCCAGGAGCUAAGGGCUACAGGCGUGUGCCGCCACUCCCAGCUAGUUUUUUAAUUUUUAAAAAUUUUUUGCAGAGGUGGCGUCUUGCUAUGUUGACCAAGUUUGUCUCAAAUUCCUGGCUUCAAGCCAUCCUCCCACCUCUGCCUCCCAAAACACUGGGAUUUCAGCCGUGAGCCACCAACGCACCUGGCCUCAUUCUCCAACUCUUUACAAAGCUUCAAAGACAUCCCAGACGCUGGGAAUACAGAGACCAAUCAGAUACAAACCCUGCCCUCCAGCUGUUCGCAGCAUUCUCGCUCCUUUGCGGCCACCUCUUCUGCCCUGCUUUUCCACCUUGUCCCUUCUUCUGUCAAGUGGCUUUUGGCUUGGUCACCACUUUGCUGGUGUUUCUCUCCAGAAGUGAGUCCCAGACUUCAGGUGUGGUCUGACUCACGUCCUAUCGGGUCUCUCCCUCUGAAAACCGUGCUUGUAUUAAAGCAGCUUGGGAGCUCAUUAAUGUUCUUGGCAGCCAGGUCCUACCCCUGACAGUGCAGGAGCUGCCUGUCCACUUAGGGGACCCCUGUCUUUUUCACACGUGAGUCUGUUAAGCCUCACCUCCCUCAUCGCCUCCAUGUGUGCGGCAGUUUUCAACAAAUGUUCAGAGUACAACACCUGCCCUUGUUAAACGUAAUCUUGUUACACUAGUCCCCUUGUUUUAACUUCUCAAACAUUUUGAGUCUUGCUCCUGUUAACCAAGAAGACCUAGAAAGCUCCACAUCUCCUCUUAAAAUGUGUGUGUGUGUGUGUGUGCGUGUAUUCGUACGCACACCCCUGGGUACAGCUCUGAGGAGGCCACCUAUAGGUUUCUGAACAAUCUUCCAUGAAUACAGCUCAUUCAUACACACAUUUAUUUAUUCUGCAACAUUUAUUCAACAUUCCCUAACAAAACUUUCAUUCUUGAGCACUUUUUGCCCAAGCAUUACAGGGAUAAUAGAAGCAAACGAAUCCAUACUAAGGAGUGAAUUAUUGAUAGUGCUCACCUGCAUUUUUUUAAGCAGAAAGUAGUAUUUAUUUUGGCCUAAUUUCCACCUGUCAGAAAAUCAAAACAGUGAUGAAUUGCAUAUUGCUAUACUACAUUUUAUUAUCAGCAUCAAAAUUCAAGUGUGCUCUGCUUAAAAUUCAGAAGACAAACUUUCUCAUUUAGAAAAGUUCAUUCUGUUAGUGACUGAUCAGAAUGGAAUAAAAAUUUCAUGAUGCAUACAUACUGAUUGAAUUUUUUUUUCUUUUUUUAAAAAAAAUGUAUUUUAUUCUGGAUUCAAGGUGUGCAUGUGCAUAUCUGCUACACAGGUAUAAUUAUGUACUGGUGGGAUUGGGCAUCUAGUGUGUCCAUUACCCAAAUAGUGAACAUUGUACCCAAUAGGUAUUCUUCAACUCUAUCCCCCACUCUAAUGAUCCCCCCUUUGGGAGUCCCCACUGUCUAUAGUUUCCAUCUUUAUGUCCAUCUUUAUGUGCCCAUUGUUUAGCUCCCACUUACAAGUGAGAACAUAUGGUAUUCAGUUUUCUGUUUCUGUGUUAGUUUGUUUAGGAUAAUGACCUCCAGCUCCAUCCAUGUAGUUACAAAGGACAUGGUUUUGUUCUUCUUUUUUUUUUAAUGACUGCUUCACCUUCUUCUUAACUAUCCCAAGGUGUUUGGUUCUUAAACUGAUUGGUGAAAUCUAGCAGUCAUAGCAGAAGCAAGUGGAGACAAGGCUUGUUUAAAUAGUAUCAUUAAGCUGACUCUGACAGAGGCCUUUCCAUACACACCCAACCCUCUCCCCUAUCAGAGCUUCUAGAGAGGGAGGCUGGCUAACCCUGGGAUCCAGAAAUAUUUGGAGAAUCCUCGGGCCGGGCGUGGUGGCUCACGCCUGUAAUCCCAACACUUUGGGAGGUUGAGGCGGGUGGAUCAUGAGGUCAGGAGAUUGAGACCAUCCUGGCUGACACGGUGUACUAAAAAUACAAAAAAUUAGCCGGGCGUGGUGGUGGGUGCCUGUAGUCCCAGCUACUCGGGAGGCUGAGGCAGGAGAAUGGCAUGAACCCCGGAGGCGAAGCUUGCAGUGAGCCGAGAUCGUGCCACUGUACUCCAGCCUGGGAGACAGAGCGAGACUCUGUCUCACAAAAAUAAUAAUAAUAAUAAUAAUAAUAAUAAUUUGGAGAAUCCUCAACAUUCUUUCUGCUCAUCCCAGUAACCCACUUGACAGCAUGGAGCUCAGAAAUGUGGGGACCCCAGAAGCUCAAGAUCUUCAGCCCCAACUCACAACUUUCUCCCUUGCCAUUGGAAGGGAUUGAGGACCUUGGCUCAAAUCUCUGUUUCUCAAAGUGAUUUCUGGCUCAGCCUAUAUCCAG
rnacentral:lncRNA from 1 species